rnacentral:misc_RNA from 1 species
AAGUCGUAACAAGGUAACCGUAGGUGAACCUGCGGUUGGAUCAUUAAAAAAUCAAAAGCCUGUCAUCGAGUACCCCUUUGUCAAAGGCAAAGCUGGAGAAAAAUGAAUGUUGGCACCACAUCUUGUGAACCGUAUUUGUCUUUGGUGGUUGGGCGGUUUGCUUGUUUCAAGCUUCCGUCUGUCAGCUUGUGCUUUACAGCGCAAGCCGUGGACAAGCCACCGUCUGUUUGUUCAAACCUAAUUGUCUUCUUUUUUCUUGUCUAACAUUUUUUUUGUAUAAAUAUACAAACAACUUUUGGCAACGGAUCUCUUGGUUCUC